UACGUAGGGUCCGAGCGUUGUCCGGAAUUAUUGGGCGUAAAGGGCUCGUAGGCGGUUCGUCACGUCGGGAGUGAAAACUCGGAGCUUAACCCCGAGCCUGCUUCCGAUACGGGCAGACUAGAGGUAGGCAGGGGAGAGCGGAACUCCUGGUGUAGCGGUGGAAUGCGCAGAUAUCAGGAAGAACACCGGUGGCGAAGGCGGCUCUCUGGGCCUUACCUGACGCUGAGGAGCGAAAGCGUGGGGAGCGAACAGG
rnacentral:rRNA from 1 species